rnacentral:rRNA from 1 species
UACAGAGGCCCCAAGCGUUACUGAGAAUCACUGGGUUUAAAGGGUGCGUAGGUGGCGCGUUAAGUCCGUUGUGAAAUCCCUGGGCUCAACCCAGGAAUUGCUUCGGAUACUGGCGUGCUUGAGGCCGGUAGGGGUCACUGGAACUGACGGUGGAGCGGUGAAAUGCGUAGAUAUCGGCAGGAACGCCAAUGGUGAAGACAGGUGACUGGGCCGGAACUGACACUGAGGCACGAAAGCGUGGGGAGCAAACGGG